rnacentral:lncRNA from 1 species
AUUAAUGGGCACAAAACUCACUGUAUCCGGCUUACCAAUUAACAAUUGGUCUCAUUCAGGCAUUCCAUCAAACACAUCACAGGCAUGAAAAGAUAAGCACAAAGACACCAAAUUUACGUGGUUCGGCAGCAAGUGCCUACAUCCACGGGGAGGAGGAGCAAUCCACUAUAUCAAUCUUCCCAAUAGGGUACAAACAUAGAUACAUAAGAGCCCAAAAUAUGGACUGCCAAAUGAUGACAAUAUGAGGCAAUAUAAAACCAAAUAUAAAGCAAGAAACAACCUGAUCGGAUCACCCUUCUGCAGCCACAAUGAUAGAUCAAAAGUGUAGUAUGCAAAUCAACCUUUCUACGGCUCCAAUGGUAGAUCAAAUGAGUAUCAAAACCAUACCUUCCCUUGUUACAAUUUCUGUGAACAGCAAAGAAGAAAGGGGCUCACGGAAACAGGGAAGCCACAGGAAGAAGCCACGGUUGAAGAAGGAAGAAGGAAGAAAGCCUCCAGCGAGUGAAGACAGAAGGAAACCAAGUCAGAUGU